GAAACAGAUGCUAAUACCGGAUAACAACACUAGACGCAUGUCUAGAGUUUGAAAGAUGGUUCUGCUAUCACUCUUGGAUGGACCUGCGGUGCAUUAGCUAGUUGGUAAGGUAACGGCUUACCAAGGCAAUGAUGCAUAGCCGAGUUGAGAGACUGAUCGGCCACAUUGGGACUGAGACACGGCCCAAACUCCUACGGGAGGCAGCAGUAGGGAAUCUUCCACAAUGGACGAAAGUCUGAUGGAGCAACGCCGCGUGAGUGAAGAAGGGUUUCGGCUCGUAAAGCUCUGUUGGUAGUGAAGAAAGAUAGAGGUAGUAACUGGCCUUUAUUUGACGGUAAUUACUUAGAAAGUCACGGCUAACUACGUGCCAGCAGCCGCGGUAAUACGUAGGUGGCAAGCGUUGUCCGGAUUUAUUGGGCGUAAAGCGAGUGCAGGCGGUUCAAUAAGUCUGAUGUGAAAGCCUUCGGCUCAACCGGAGAAUUGCAUCAGAAACUGUUGAACUUGAGUGCAGAAGAGGAGAGUGGAACUCCAUGUGUAGCGGUGGAAUGCGUAGAUAUAUGGAAGAACACCAGUGGCGAAGGCGGCUCUCUGGUCUGCAACUGACGCUGAGGCUCGAAAGCAUGGGUAGCGAACAGGAUUAGAUACCCUGGUAGUCCAUGCCGUAAACGAUGAGUGCUAAGUGUUGGGAGGUUUCCGCCUCUCAGUGCUGCAGCUAACGCA
rnacentral:rRNA from 1 species